rnacentral:rRNA from 1 species
UACGGGGGGGGGCAAGCGUUGUUCGGAAUUACUGGGCGUAAAGGGCCAGUAGGCGGCCAACUAAGUCCGACGUGAAAUCCCAAGGCUUAACCUUGGAACUGCGUCGGAUACUGGAUGGCUUGAAUUCGGGAGAGGGAUGCAGAAUUCCAGGUGUAGCGGUGAGAUGCGUAGAUAUCUGGAGGAACACCGGUGGCGAAGGCGGCAUUCUGGACCGAUAUUGACGCUGAGGAGCGAAAGCCAGGGGGAGCAAACGGGG